rnacentral:rRNA from 1 species
CAAGGAAGGCAGCAGGCGCGCAAAUUACCCACUCCCGGCACGGGGAGGUAGUGACGAAAAAUAACGAUACGGGACUCAUCCGAGGCCCCGUAAUCGGAAUGAGUACACUUUAAAUCCUUUAACGAGGAUCUAUUAGAGGGCCAGUCUGGUGCCAGCAGCCGCGGUAACUCCAGCUCUAAUAGCGUAUAUUAAAGUUGUUGCGGUUAAAAAGCUCGUAGUUGAAUCUGUGUCCCACACUGUCGGUUCACCGCUCGCGGUGUUCAACUGGCAUGUCUGUGGGACGUCCUACCGGUGGGCUUAGCCCGUCAAAAGGCGGCCCAACUCAAAAUCCUACCACGGUGCUCUUCACCGAGUGUCGAGGUGGGCCGGUACGUUUACUUUGAACAAAUUAGAGUGCUUAAAGCAGGCUCAUUCGCCUGAAUAUUGUGUGCAUGGAAUAAUGGAAUAGGACCUCGGUUCUAUUUUGUUGGUUUUCGGAAUUCCGAGGUAAUGAUUAAUAGGGACAACUGGGGGCAUUCGUAUUGCGACGUUAGAGGUGAAAUUCUUGGAUCGUCGCAAGACGGACAGAAGCGAAAGCAUUUGCCAAAUGUGUUUUCAUCAAUCAAGAACGAAAGUUAGAUUUUCGAAGGCGAUCAGAUACCGCCCUAGUUCUAACCAUAAACGAUGCCAGCUAGCGAUCCGCCGAAGUUCCUCCGAUGACUCGGCGGGCAGCUUCCGGGAAACCAAAGCUUUUGGGUUCCGGGGGAAGUAUGGUUGCAAAGCUGAAACUUAAAGGAAUUGACGGAAGGGCACCACCAGGAGUGGAGCCUGCGGCUUAAUUUGACUCAACACGGGAAACCUCACCAGGCCCGGACACCGGAAGGAUUGACAGAUUGAGAGCUCUUUCUUGAUUCGGUGGGUAGUGGUGCAUGGCCGUUCUUAGUUGGUGGAGCGAUUUGUCUGGUUAAUUCUGAUAACGAACGAGACUCUAGCCUGCUAAAUAGGCGUACUUUCCGGUAUCUCGAAGGCCCGCCGUGCGGAGUUUCGGCUCUCGCAUGCGUGUGGUUUUUACUACCGGCGUACACAUAUAUCUUCUUAGAGGGACAGGUGGCAUUUAGUCGCACGAAAUUGAGCAAUAACAGGUCUGUGAUGCCCUUAGAUGUUCUGGGCCGCACGCGCGCUACACUGAAGGGAUCAGCAGGUUUUCCUUGGCCGAAAGGUCCGGGUAAUCCGUUGAAGCCCCUUCGUGCUAGGGAUUGGGGCUUGCAAUUCUUCCCCAUGAACGAGGAAUUCCCAGUAAGCGCGAGUCAUAAGCUUGCGUUGAUUACGUCCCUGCCCUUUGUACACACCGCCCGUCGCUACUACCGAUUGAAUGAUUUAGUGAGGUCUUCGGACCGGUGCGCGGCAGUGUUUUCACAUUGCCGAUGUUGCUGGGAAGAUGACCAAACUUGAUUAUUUAGAGGAAGUAAAAGUCGUAACAAGGUUUCC